ACCAUCCUACCAUUGUCCCAUCAUCCCAAUUGGCAUGUCUUGGAAUAUCCCUUGUCCCAAGUGUCAGAACAAGAUGAGACAAUAGCAUGUCCGGUUCCAUAGGAAAACGAGGGCAGCCCAACCCACGAGAUUUAAAACCUUGAUCUCUUGCAUCAUCUCCAAUAAUCAAAGACACAUGCAAGACUCACAACCACAUCCAACCUCUGAGAUUAUGGUGAAUCAAGGUAUCUUUGGGUUCUCGGAGAUACAAUAACACAGAUGCUUACCUUCUAUAAUCAAAUAACUCCAUACCAACUUGUUGCAGUUGGUGUUUAAAUGUUGAUGCCCAUGCAGAUUGUUCAAGUUGCAUACCAUAAGCACAAGAGAUGUAUAUAAUUGUUCAAGUUGCAUACCACAAUAAGAACCUGGCAGCUAAUGAGGAUGCCUAUGAGCCCACUACAUAAUUAAUGCAGAAGUGAGGUAAGGACAAUUUAUAAUAGAAUAACACUGGCAUGCUGACCCCCCAAGACCAUGAAGACUCAUGCCCUUGGACAGCAUGGCACAUAUUGAGGCAUACUCUAUCAUUUGAUAACCAACAAAGUUAUCAACAAAAACUUUUAAAACCAAUGUCGGCAGAACCAACCCGAACCGUCCGGUUCUGCCCGUUUCGAACCAUACUGGUGGCUCACCGGUAAAGUUCCGGCUCAAAAAAAAUAGGACGUUUCCGGAGCUGAAGAAGAAGGAAAAAGAGCAAGCGGAGGAGGGAGGGAGAGAGAGAGAAGA
rnacentral:lncRNA from 1 species